CCGGCGACCGGCGCACGGGUGAGUAACACGUAUGGAACCUGCCCGCAGCAGGGGGAUAAGCGGAAGAAAUUCCGUCUAAUACCGCGUAACAACGUUGGGAGGCAUCUCCCGAUGUUUAAAGAUUUAUCGGCUGCGGAUGGCCAUGCGGCGCAUUAGCUAGUCGGCGGGGUAACGGCCCACCGAGGCGACGAUGCGUAGGGGUUCUGAGAGGAAGGUCCCCCACACUGGGACUGAGACACGGCCCAAACUCCUACGGAAGGCAGCAG
rnacentral:rRNA from 1 species